GAUGAACGCUGGCGGCGUGCCUAAUACAUGCAAGUCGAGCGAACAGACGAGGAGCUUGCUCCUCUGACGUUAGCGGCGGACGGGUGAGUAACACGUGGAUAACCUACCUAUAAGACUGGGAUAACUUCGGGAAACCGGAGCCAAUACCGGAUAAUAUAUUGAACCGCAUGGUUCAAUAGUGAAAGACGGUUUUGCUGUCACUUAUAGAUGGAUCCGCGCCGCAUUAGCUAGUUGGUAAGGUAACGGCUUACCAAGGCAACGAUGCGUAGCCGACCUGAGAGGGUGAUCGGCCACACUGGAACUGAGACACGGUCCAGACUCCUACGGGAGGCAGCAGUAGGGAAUCUUCCGCAAUGGGCGAAAGCCUGACGGAGCAACGCCGCGUGAGUGAUGAAGGUCUUCGGAUCGUAAAACUCUGUUAUUAGGGAAGAACAAAUGUGUAAGUAACUAUGCACGUCUUGACGGUACCUAAUCAGAAAGCCACGGCUAACUACGUG
rnacentral:rRNA from 1 species